GCUUUCCUUAUAAACUGCAGUAUCAUGUGAGCCUAGGAAUCAUGUGAUCACAGAUUCAGUCUACUGAAUCUAGAUUCGUUUCCCGUGAUAGACUUUUUCAGCUGUAAGCAGCUUGUACAUUAUUUACAGUGUACAAAUUUCUUUGGAUGGUUGUCAUGCCCAUAAGGAGUUCGACACUGCUGUAUAUUAUUUUCUCGAAGAUGCCUCGCAUCUCGAAAAUAAAAGCAAAUCAUCCGACAAAUUUAAUAAUAAAAUGAAAGUAUGAAAAGG
rnacentral:lncRNA from 1 species